rnacentral:rRNA from 1 species
GACGAACGCUGGCGGCGUGCCUAAUACAUGCAAGUCGAGCGGAGUUUUUAAAAGCUUGCUUUUAAAAACUCAGCGGCGGACGGGUGAGUAACACGUGGGCAACCUGCCCUGUAGACUGGGAUAACUUCGGGAAACCGAAGCUAAUACCGGAUAAUCAUAGAAGUUGCAUAGCUUCUAUGUAAAAGUUGGGUUUACCUAACACUACAGGAUGGGCCCGCGUCGCAUUAGCUAGUUGGUAAGGUAACGGCUUACCAAGGCGACGAUGCGUAGCCGACCUGAGAGGGUGAUCGGCCACACUGGGACUGAGACACGGCCCAGACUCCUACGGGAGGCAGCAGUAGGGAAUCUUCCGCAAUGGACGAAAGUCUGACGGAGCAACGCCGCGUGAGCGAUGAAGGCCUUCGGGUCGUAAAGCUCUGUUGUUAGGGAAGAACAAGUACCAUUCAAAUAGGGUGGUACC